GAUGAACGCUGGCGGCGUGCCUAAUACAUGCAAGUCGAGCGAACGGACGAGAAGCUUGCUUCUCUGAUGUUAGCGGCGGACGGGUGAGUAACACGUGGAUAACCUACCUAUAAGACUGGGAUAACUUCGGGAAACCGGAGCUAAUACCGGAUAAUAUUUUGAACCGCAUGGUUCAAAAGUGAAAGACGGUCUUGCUGUCACUUAUAGAUGGAUCCGCGCUGCAUUAGCUAGUUGGUAAGGUAACGGCUUACCAAGGCAACGAUGCAUAGCCGACCUGAGAGGGUGAUCGGCCACACUGAAACUGAGACACGGUCCAGACUACUACGAGAGGCAGCAGUAGGGAAUCUUCCGCAAUGGGCGAAAGCCUGACGGAGCAACGCCGCGUGAGUGAUGAAGGUCUUCGGAUCGUAAAACUCUGUUAUUAGGGAAGAACAUAUGUGUAAGUAACUGUGCACAUCUUGACGGUACCUAAUCAGAAAGCCACGGCUAACUACGUG
rnacentral:rRNA from 1 species